CGCUGGCGGCAUGCCUUACACAUGCAAGUCGAACGGCAGCACGGGGCAACCUGGUGGCGAGUGGCGAACGGGUGAGUAACAUAUCGGAACGUACCCAAGAGUGGGGGAUAACGUAGCGAAGGUUACGCUAAUACCGCAUACGAUCUAAGGAUGAAAGCAGGGAAUCGCAAGACCUUGUGCUCCUGGAGCGGCCGAUAUCUGAUUAGCUAGUUGGUGGGGUAAAGGCCCACCAAGGCAACGAUCAGUAGCUGGUCUGAGAGGACGACCAGCCACACUGGAACUGAGACACGGUCCAGACUCCUACGGGAGGCAGCAGUGGGGAAUUUUGGACAAUGGGGGCAACCCUGAUCCAGCAAUGCCACGUGAGUGAAGAAGGCCUUCGGGUUGUAAAGCUCUUUUGUCAGGGAAGAAAAGGUCGCAGCUAAUAUCUGUGGCUCAUGACGGUACCUGAAGAAUAAGCACCGGCU
rnacentral:rRNA from 1 species